rnacentral:rRNA from 1 species
GAUGAACGCUAGCGGGAGGCCUAACACAUGCAAGCCGAGCGGUAUUGUUUCUUCGGCAAUGAGAGAGCGGCGUACGGGUGCGUAACACGUGUGCAACCUGCCUUUAUCUGGGGGAUAGCCUUUCGAAAGGAAGAUUAAUACUCCAUAAUAUAUUGAACGGCAUCGUUUAAUAUUGAAAGCUCCGGCGGAUAGAGAUGGGCACGCGCAAGAUUAGCUAGUUGGUGAGGUAACGGCUCACCAAGGCGAUGAUCGUUAGGGGGCCUGAGAGGGUGAUCCCCCACACUGGUACUGAGACACGGACCAGACUCCUACGGGAGGCAGCAGUGAGGAAUAUUGGUCAAUGGGUGCAAGCCUGAACCAGCCAUCCCGCGUGAAGGACGACUGCCCUAUGGGUUGUAAACUUCUUUUGUAUAGGGAUAAACCUACCCUCGUGAGGGUAGCUGAGGGUACUAUACGAAUAAGCACCGGCUAACUCCGUG